AGGGUUCGAUUCUGGCUCAGGAUGAACGCUGGCGGCGUGCCUAACACAUGCAAGUCGAGCGGACCUGAUUAAGUGAUUAGCUUACUAAGAACUUAUGACUGGUUAGCGGCGGACGGGUGAGUGACGCGUGGGUAACCUGCCUCAUACAGGGGGAUAGCAGUUGGAAACGACUGGUAAUACCGCAUAAGCGCACAGUACCGCAUGGUACGGUGUGAAAAAACUCCGGUGGUAUGAGAUGGACCCGCGUCCGAUUAGCCAGUUGGCGGGGUAACGGCCCACCAAAGCGACGAUCGGUAGCCGGCCUGAGAGGGCGGACGGCCACAUUGGGACUGAGACACGGCCCAGACUCCUACGGGAGGCAGCAGUGGGGGAUAUUGCACAAUGGAGGAAACUCUGAUGCCAGCGACGCCGCGUGGGUGAAGAAGUAUUUCGGUAUGUAAAGCCCUAUCAGCAGGGACGAUAAUGACGGUACCUGACUAAGAAGCCCCGGCUAACUACGUGCCAGCAGCCGC
rnacentral:rRNA from 1 species